UUAACUCAGCGGUAGAGUAACGCCAUGGUAAGGCGUAAGUCAUCGGUUCAAGUCCGAUA
rnacentral:tRNA from 1 species